rnacentral:rRNA from 1 species
UACAGAGGCCCCAAGCAUUAUCCGGAAUCACUGGGCGUAAAGGGUGUGUAGGCGGCUUUGUUAGUCUCUCGUGAAAGGCUUUGGGCUUAACCCAGAGACCGCGGGGGAAACGGCAUGGCUAUAAGAGGAUGCGAGAGGUAAAGGGAACUCAAGGUGUAGGGGUGAAAUCCGUUGAUAUCUUGGGGAACACCAAAUGCGAAGGCACUUUACUGGCGCACUCCUGACGCUGAGACACGAAAGCGUGGGUAGC